UAGGGAAUCUUCCACAAUGGACGCAAGUCUGAUGGAGCAACGCCGCGUGAGUGAAGAAGGUUUUCGGAUCGUAAAGCUCUGUUGUUGGUGAAGAAGGAUAGAGGCAGUAACUGGUCUUUAUUUGACGGUAAUCAACCAGAAAGUCACGGCUAACUACGUGCCAGCAGCCGCGGUAAUACGUAGGUGGCAAGCGUUGUCCGGAUUUAUUGGGCGUAAAGCGAGCGCAGGCGGAAUGAUAAGUCUGAUGUGAAAGCCCACGGCUCAACCGUGGAACUGCAUCGGAAACUGUCAUUCUUGAGUGCAGAAGAGGAGAGUGGAACUCCAUGUGUAGCGGUGGAAUGCGUAGAUAUAUGGAAGAACACCAGUGGCGAAGGCGGCUCUCUGGUCUGCAACUGACGCUGAGGCUCGAAAGCAUGGGUAGCGAACAGGAUUAGAUACCCUGGUAGUCCAUGCCGUAAACGAUGAGCGCUAGGUGUUGGGGACUUUCCGGUUCUCAGUGCCGCAGCAAACGCAUUAAGCGCUCCGCCUGGGGA
rnacentral:rRNA from 1 species